rnacentral:lncRNA from 1 species
UAAAUUCUGACUUAGGAUAUAUCCAAUGUACAUACUAUCUUCUCUAUACUAAUAAUAUAAAUUACAAUGUGCCCAAGGUUUUCUUGUUCACAUGUAUCUGUUUUCUUUCAUUCAUUUUUUGCCAAUAAUUCAUUAUUAUCAUCUGUAUUUACAAUUUUCUUUUAAAAUUAAUUUUUAACUGAUACAUAAAAUAAAAUGUUCAUAUUAAUGAGGUAAUGUGUAAAAUAUAUAAUGUUGAAAUCAGGUUAAACACAUUUAUCUCCUUAAACAUUUAUCAUUUCUUUAUGGUGAAUAUUUUUGAAACACUAUCUUUGAGAAUUUUAAAAUGCACUGUAUAUUAUAUUAUAUAUAAGUCCCUUUACUGUCUUAUAACUUCUUGCUCCCAUUUAAAUGUAAGUUGGUACCUACUGAUCAACUUUUCCCCCUCUUUUCCUCUUCCCUACACCCCUAAUAUGUGGUAAUCACUGUUCUAUGCUCAACUUUUGUGACAUCUCAUGAGUGAAAUCAUGCAGUACUUGUCUUUCUGUUCCUGGCUUAUUUCAUUUAACAAAAAUCAUUAGUUCCAACCAUGUUGUUAGAAAUUACAGAAUUUCAUUUUUUUUUUUUUUACAGUCCAAUGUGGAGAUCCCACAUUUUCUUUAGCCAUUCAUCAGCUGAUCGACCCUCAGGUUGUUUUCAUUCCUUGGUUAUUAUUAAUAGUGCUGUAAUAAAGACUGAACUGUAAAUGUCUCUUAGACAUAUUGAUUUCAUUCCCUUUCAAUAUACAUCGAGAGUAAUAGAAGUCUAGGAUCAUAUGGUAGUUCUACAUUUUUAUCUUUUAAAAAGCCUUCAUAUUUUAAUUG